UUGUUUCUUCUUAAACUCCUGGAAAAGGAUAUGAGUUUGUCCGAGAAUUGUUCCAGAGUUCUUAUUGAUAUCGUUCGUCAGCCGACUUCGCAGGAAGUAAAACCAGCGUAGCAUUGGGCUGAGAGAUGCUACUCCAAAGAAGAAGAAGCAAUGUAAUUGCAAAAACUCAAGAUGCUUGAAGUUAAGACUUGCAUUGAUCUAAGCAGAAUUUGAGAAGUGGAGAAGCGUGUGUAGGUGCAAUGGGGUAAGAACUUCUGUAAUUGAGUUUUAUAAGAGUCCCAUAGGUCUUCUCUCAUGCUUCAUGUCCUUCAGUCUGAAGUGCUCAUUUUUGGCAUUAUGCUUGAAAUUGAUGGACAGAGAUUUAUUUCAAAAUUCCGCAACUUACCUACUCCAUUUUGUGUUCAGAGUAGUCUUUUAAGGUACAACUGGGGAAUCCUUAUAAUUUUCCCUUGGUACCCUGUAUUUCAUGUGCAUUAUUAUAAUUAGCCAA